CACGGAGUUGGCCGUGGCUUCCUCUGAGGGUACCGUCAAAUACCGGCGCUAUUCACGCCGGCACCCUUCUUUCCCUCUGACAGGGGUUUACGACCCGAAGGCCUUCGUCCCCCACGCGGCGUCGCUCCGUCAGGCUUUCGCCCAUUGCGGAAGAUUCCCCACUGCUGCCUCCCGUAGGAGUCGGGGCCGUGUCUCAGUCCCCGUGUGGCCGGUCAUCCUCUCAGACCGGCUACCCAUAAUUGCCUUGGUGGGCCGUUACCCCCGCCAACUAGCUAAUGGGCCGCGGGCCCGUCUAGGAGUGGUUGCUUGCGCGACCUUUCAUCCCUGAGGCUUGUGCCCCUGGGAGCGUAUCCGGUAUUAGCGGCCCUUUCGAGCCGUUAUCCCGGUCCCCUAGGUGGGUUACCCACGUGUUACUCACCCGUCCGCCGCUAACCGUCCGAGUUUCCCCAAACGGUUCGCUCGACUUGCAUGUGUUAGGCACGCCGCCAGCGUUCGCUCUGAGCCAGGAUCAAACUCU
rnacentral:rRNA from 1 species